AUUUAUUAGACGCAUAUAUUUGUUGUUAUAUGCAUGUACGUUUACUUUUACAAAUGAAUGUCUACAGCAAAAAAAAAGAACUCUAGAUUCUAUAGCUCCAUCCCAUAAAAUAGAUGUCCACUGGGAAGUACAUUUUAAAUAUAACCUUAAUUUUUGUAAUUAAUUACAUGACAAUGCCAUUAGAAAAAUUUAAUCAAAAACAAAAUCCUUUAAUGACGUCAUUAAGAUUACCAAAAUCAUUUAACUAUAAUAUUCAUUUCUUAAUUAUAAAGUUUAUUGGAUCUAAAGACGGGUCAUCAAAGAUUUCCUAAACUGAAGCAAAAUAUACCGAAUAUUCAAAUAUAUAUCUGUUACCAAAUUAUAAACAAAUAAGUUCGUAAAACAAUUUAAUAUUUAAUAUAUAAAAUUAAUUAAAUCUUAAUCACAUAAAAAUUAGCACAAAAAAAGUAUUCAACAAUUAAAAAAUUAUCAAAUCUCUGUGUUAUAUAAGUUUUUAUACUAUAUUACAAUUUCUACAAGGAGAUUCUGAAAUGGCAGAGGCUUGGUUCGCUACGUCAAUUCUAAUUCAAUUUGUUCUAAACUUCCUCGGAGCUAAAGCCUCGUGAUUCAAUUAUGGCUCUUUGCUGCUAUUAAGGUGAUAGUAUCUGCUUAGCCCAUAGUAAUAAGAUGGUAGUGACCGCUUAUCCUAAGUCUUCCGCUGGCAUGGGUGUAACUGUCCUUCCAAAGUACCUCAAACAGUCCUCUUACGAAGCCUAUUCCCGGCCUUACUCUGCAUUCUUUCUUUCUGGUUGUACUAAGCAGGAGCGUUCCCCCUUACUGGCUAGGCAGCUAGUAGAUGCUUGGCUUUCAUUCCAUUCCAUUCUGAUGAUAAAUGAAGAAAGAGGUGUCGGACAUCCUUUCCUUAGUAGGGUUUCUCCCUAAACAAAAUACCGAUUCAAGCCCCUUUACAUGUUGAGAUUAAGGACGAAUUUAUAAGGUAUGAGACGACCCAGAAAGCACUUAAUCAUGAUAAACUUAA
rnacentral:sRNA from 1 species